rnacentral:rRNA from 1 species
GCAAGCGUUGUCCGGAUUUACUGGGCGUAAAGCGCGUGUAGGCGGCCACGCUGGUCCGUUGUGAAAACUAGAGGCUCAACCUCUAGACGUCGACGGAAACCGUGUGGCUAGAGUCCGGAAGAGGAGAGUGGAAUUCCUGGUGUAGCGGUGAAAUGCGCAGAUAUCAGGAAGAACACCAAUGGCGAAGGCAGCUCUCUGGGAUGGUACUGACGCUGAGACGCGAAAGCGUGGGGAGCGAACAGG